rnacentral:rRNA from 1 species
GAUGCAGCAACGCCGCGUGAGGGACGAAGGCCUUCGGGUUGUAAACCUCUUUUAGUAGGGAAGAAGCGACUGGGUUUUCCUGGGAGUGACGGUACCUGCAGAAAAAGCACCGGCUAACUACGUGCCAGCAGCCGCGGUAAUACGUAGGGUGCAAGCGUUGUCCGGAAUUAUUGGGCGUAAAGAGCUCGUAGGCGGUUUGUCGCGUCUGCUGUGAAAACCCGAGGCUCAACCUCGGGCCUGCAGUGGGUACGGGCAGACUAGAGUGCGGUAGGGGAGAUUGGAAUUCCUGGUGUAGCGGUGGAAUGCGCAGAUAUCAGGAGGAACACCAAUGGCGAAGGCAGAUCUCUGGGCCGUAACUGACGUUGAGGAGCGAAAGCAUGGGGAGCGAACAGGAUUAGAUACCCUGGUAGUCUAUGCCGUAAACGUUGGGAACUAGAUGUGGGGACCAUUCCACGGUCUCCGUGUCGCAGCUAACGCAUUAAGUUCCCCGCCUGGGGAGUACGGCCGCAAGGCUAAAACUCAAAGGAAUUGACGGGGGCCCGCACAAGCGGCGGAGCAUGCGGAUUAAUUCGAUGCAACGCGAAGAACCUUACCAAGGCUUGACAUAUACCGGAAACGGCUGGAAACAGUCGCCCCGCAAGGUCGGUAUACAGGUGGUGCAUGGUUGUCGUCAGCUCGUGUCGUGAGAUGUUGGGUUAAGUCCCGCAACGAGCGCAACCCUCGUCCUAUGUUGCCAGCACGUAAUGGUGGGAACUCAUGGGAUACUGCCGGGGUCAACUCGGAGGAAGGUGGGGAUGACGUCAAAUCAUCAUGCCCCUUAUGUCUUGGGCCUCACGCAUGCUACAAUGGCCGGUACAAAGGGCUGCUAUACCGCAAGGUGGAGCGAAUCCCAAAAAGCCGGUCUCAGUUCGGAUUGAGGUCUGCAACUCGACCUCAUGAAGUCGGAGUCGCUAGUAAUCGCAGAUCAGCAACGCUGCGGUGAAUACGUUCCCGGGCCUUGUACACACCGC